UCUGCCUUAGCUCGGUUGGUAGUGUGUCGGAGUACAAAUCCGGAGGUCGUGGGUUCAAAUCCCACACGCGGUC
rnacentral:tRNA from 1 species